rnacentral:rRNA from 1 species
GACGAACGCUGGCGGCGUGCUUAACACAUGCAAGUCGAACGGAAAGGCCCUGCUUUUGUGGGGUGCUCGAGUGGCGAACGGGUGAGUAACACGUGAGUAACCUGCCCUUGACUUUGGGAUAACUUCAGGAAACUGGGGCUAAUACCGGAUAGGAGCUCCUGCUGCAUGGUGGGGGUUGGAAAGUUUCGGCGGUUGGGGAUGGACUCGCGGCUUAUCAGCUUGUUGGUGGGGUAGUGGCUUACCAAGGCUUUGACGGGUAGCCGGCCUGAGAGGGUGACCGGCCACAUUGGGACUGAGAUACGGCCCAGACUCCUACGGGAGGCAGCAGUGGGGAAUAUGACACAAUGGGCGGAAGCCUGAUGCAGCAACGCUGCGUGCGGGAAGACGGCCUGCGGGGUGUAAACCGCUUUCGCCUGUGACGAAGCGUGAGUGACGGUAAUGGGUAAAGAAGCACCGGCUAACUACGUG